AAAACACACACAAUGCUCCCAUUCAGUUUAAGUUAAUAUUGGAUCCAGAUGACCCAUUUAAAAUAUAGCAGUGAUUUACAUUUUUUGAUAUAAUAUUGAUCAUAAAAAUAAACAGGAGAAACUAGAUAUGUUAAGUGUAUUGUAAUACAUAAGCAUAGGUUUUGAAUGUUAGGAUAAUACCUGUGUUUAAUGUUUAAAGUAAUUUU